CAGGGACUGAGAAGAGGAUUUAUUCUCUUCCCAUUUAUUUAAAUACAAUAUUCUAUAAUAAAAAUUCAAGCCCUCUAGCAUCAUGUUUCUCUCCUUCUUCAUCUCAAGUUGGUAUAUCAACUCAGUUAAGAAAGUUGAAUACAGGUGGUAAAAAACAAAAUCAGUGAAAGACGGUAUCAAACCCAAUGCUUCAGCAUCCAAAUCACUUCUGAGCACGGUGUCUGAACACUGUAAAGUGCUUACUACCAUUGUGGCUUGAAAUUUUCUGCCAAUAAAAUGUUUAUUGGGUAAGUGAAUAAAGUUGUAGUGGUCAUGUGAUUAUGCUCUAUG